rnacentral:rRNA from 1 species
GAUGAACGCUAGCGGCAGGCCUAAUACAUGCAAGUCGAACGGGAUCUGAGGGUAGCUUGCUACCCGAUUUGAGAGUGGCGCACGGGUGCGUAACGCGUAAGCAACCUACCCAUAUCAGGGGGAUAGCCCGAAAAAAUUCGGAUUAACACCGCAUAAUAAUACGCUAACACAUGUUGAUGUAUUUAAAUAUUUAUAGGAUAUGGAUGGGCUCGCGUGACAUUAGCUAGUUGGUAAGGUAACGGCUUACCAAGGCGACGAUGUCUAGGGGCUCUGAGAGGAGAAUCCCCCACACUGGUACUGAGACACGGACCAGACUCCUACGGGAGGCAGCAGUAAGGAAUAUUGGUCAAUGGGCGCAAGCCUGAACCAGCCAUGCCGCGUGCAGGAUGACUGCCCUAUGGGUUGUAAACUGCUUUUGUUAGGGAAUAAACCUUCUUACGUGUAAGGAGCUGAAUGUACCUAAAGAAUAAGGAUCGGCUAACUCCGUGCCAGCAGCCGCUGUAA